GGACUACUGGGGUUUCUAAUCCUGUUUGCUCCCCACGCUUUCGUGUCUCAGCGUCAGUCACCGUCCAGAAGGCCGCCUUCGCCGCAGGUGUUCUGCUUGAUAUCUACGAAUUUCACCUCUACACCAAGCAUUCCACCUUCCUCUCCGGGACUCCAGCGAUGCAGUUUCGGAUGCACUUCCACGGUUGAGCCGUGGGCUUUCACAUCCGACUUGCAAAGCCGCCUACACACGCUUUACGCCCAGUAAAUCCGAACAACGUUUGCACCCUCUGUCUUACCGCGGCUGCUGGCAC
rnacentral:rRNA from 1 species